rnacentral:rRNA from 1 species
AUUGAACGCUGGCGGCAUGCCUUACACAUGCAAGUCGAACGGCAGCACGGGAGCAAUCCUGGUGGCGAGUGGCGAACGGGUGAGUAAUAUAUCGGAACGUGCCCAGUCGUGGGGGAUAACGCAGCGAAAGCUGUGCUAAUACCGCAUACGAUCUACGGAUGAAAGCGGGGGACUCGCAAGGGCCUCGCGCGAUUGGAGCGGCCGAUAGCAGAUUAGCUAGUUGGUGAGGCAAAGGCUCCCCAAGGCGACGAUCUGUAGCUGGUCUGAGAGGACGACCAGCCAAACUGGAACUGAGACACGGUCCAGACUCCUACGGGAGGCAGCAGUGGGGAAUUUUGGACAAUGGGCGCAAGCCUGAUCCAGCAAUGCCGCGUGCAGGAUGAAGGCCUUCGGGUUGUAAAAUGCUUUUGUACGGAGCGAAACGGUCUCUUCUAAUACAGGGGGCUAAUGACGGUACCGUAAGAAUAAGCACCGGCUAACUACGUGCCAGCCGCCGCCGUAA